AGCGAACGCUGGCGGCAGGCUUAACACAUGCAAGUCGAACGCAUCCUUCGGGGUGAGUGGCAGACGGGUGAGUAACACGUGGGAACGUACCUUUUGGUUCGGAACAACUGAGGGAAACUUCAGCUAAUACCGGAUACGCCCUUAUGGGGAAAGAUUUAUCGCCGAAAGAUCGGCCCGCGUCUGAUUAGCUAGUUGGUGAGGUAAUGGCUCACCAAGGCGACGAUCAGUAGCUGGUCUGAGAGGAUGAUCAGCCACACUGGGACUGAGACACGGCCCAGACUCCUACGGGAGGCAGCAGUGGGGAAUAUUGGACAAUGGGCGCAAGCCUGAUCCAGCCAUGCCGCGUGAGUGAUGAAGGCCUUAGGGUUGUAAAGCUCUUUUAUCCGGGACGAUAAUGACGGUACCGGAAGAAUAAGCCCCGGCUAACUUCGUGCCAGCAGCCGCAGUAACAC
rnacentral:rRNA from 1 species